rnacentral:misc_RNA from 1 species
CAGAGUUGAAAGACUCUCCCAAACCAUCGCGAACGUUACCCUUACCGUUGCUUCGGCGGGCGGUCUCCUUAACACCCCACGGGUUGGAAACCCCGGCCCCCCUUUCGCGGGGGGGCGCCCGCCGGAGGUCACGCAAACUCUUGAUACCUGAACGGCCUCUCUGAGUAUUCUGUACUGAAUUAAGUCA